CUGCUCAUUACAGGGACAACAUCCCAACACUGGUGGAACCUUCUGUUGAGGGUUUUCUGCCUUUUAUUCCUUGCUUGGCAGCACAGCCUUUAUCUGCACACUGCCAGGCUGGUCCUGAGGAUUACAUUAGAUGAUGAUGUGUGUGGAGUACUUUGGAAACUUGAAGUCAUCUACUUCAAGGAAUUGCUGCCAACUCUAGAAGUCCUUAAAAGAAGGCUGGGCAGAUAUUUAGCUGUAUCUGUUUAAUAAAUAUUUGUUGAAAAGAAAUGAAUAAAAGAUUUUCCAAAUAUCACAUGGAAAGCCAAGGCUUAAGAAUCAAGCAUGUCACCAAGUCUUUGUGUCAAAAAUGACAUCCAAGAGAAAAAGGUGAAUGUGACAUUGUUGUGCAUCUUAUUUAAUAUGAACAAAUGAGGGUUUUCUCUGCACCAAUUGCUCCAUCUGCAAAUCAAUUGCCUCCUGUUUUGUGUGGCUUUGUAUUCAUUCUCCAAGGCCAGGCACUCUCUUGCUCUCAGGGUUUCCUGACUUGGAUCUUAAGUGAGCUCCUAGCCCUGGCUUGUUUCUCUGAGUUGUCAGGCCAGAUAAAAGCAUGGUAGAAUUUUCCCCACUCCUUUGAGUGAAGAGGACUGUCAGAAACAUUGUGGUCCGCCUUUAGAAACUCUCCCACGUUGGUUGCAAAGAGGACGUUUGUGUGUGUGUUUGCUUUGGUCUGGAGAACCAAACACCCCUUUGACAUUACGUGCGCCAGCUACUUAACAUUGGGGUGUUUCAGAAAUGAUGCCAUGAGCUCGUGAUGCAAAGAGUGCAGCCUUGUUUUAGAAACAAGGAGAAAAGGGAUCUGGACGGAAGGCUUAAAUAGCAGAGGAAAAUGAAUUAAAGUAUGCCAGAGAGGACAACACCAAGAGGUACCAGUGACGACUUGCAUGGCCCAAAUCGAAUCUUCAGAUCCAAGGCAACUCGAAAAGUAGGAACCUGUAAGAGGAAAUAGGAAGAUUAUCAAGUCGGAAUUCUGAGUUCCAGGAAGGACCUUGCUCCAUAGUAGAAAGACAUGAACUUCCCUGAAGCUUGUUGAUCAGUGUCUUCAUCUGUGAAAUGGGCUUUUUUGGAACACCUUAUACUGACCCUACCUAGAACAGAAUGAGAAUUUGUAAGAUUCAAUUAGAAAAUGUAAUUACUGAAAACGUAAUAGACACUGUAAAACAUUUUGGAUUUCACUGAAACAGUCUGUAAAAUUUGAGAGGUAUUGGGAUGAUGGGUUAGUUAGCUUUUCAUCACUGACCAAAAUACCCAAGAACAACUAAGAGGAGGAAAGUUUAUUUUGGGCUUGUGGUUUCAGUAGUUCAGUCUAUGAUCAGGUGGCUUCUUUGCUUUGGGCUUGAGGUGAAGCAGUGAAUCACGAUGGAAGGGCAUCGUGAAAGAAAACUGUUCAGCUCAUGGCAGCCAGAAAGAGGAGAGAGAGAGAGAAGCCAGGGACAUAAUGUAAUCCCCAAGAACACACCCCCAGUGACCUAUUUCCUCCAGCUACAUUCCACCUGUCUAGAGUUACCACCCUGUAAUACAUUCUAGUUAUCAAUUCAUAAAAUGAAUUGAUCCAUGGAUUAGAUCAUAGAUCUCGUAAUCUAAUUUCACCUCUGAACAUCACUACAUUGCCCCAUGAGCUUUCAUAGGGGCACCUCGUCCAAACAUAACAGAUGACCAAUCUGUCCUAAAGGAAGAGUCUUGAUGCAUCUGCUAUUACAUGAGUACACCAUCACCUGUCACUACCAAGAGUUGGAUAUCCUCAUGACUGUACCACCUGAGAGCUCCUGGUCCACAGCCUCCUAUAGCCUCCAAAGCUGGUGCCCACUGCCAGAGACAGAUUUUUACCCUCAGUUUCCUUGUCCCCAGAUUCUUUGUCCAGAGCCUAUGGUUGUAAACAUUUCCUCCAAGGCACCACACUGUUCCAGCAUCUGGCUUCAUGGCUGUCACAGCAUAGAAUACAAUAAGUAUUUACUAUCUACACUGUCUCUGUGGCCUCUCCUUCCCUUCACUGCCCAGCCCAUUCUAAUUUGACUUUCAGCUCCAUUGUUCCAUCAGAGUAGCUCUUACUUCAGUAACGUGAUUGAGGCUUGAGUGGUUAAUUAGAAUGUGCCAACGUCAAUUUCCUGUGCUUGAUGUAUGUAGAUGUCAGCGAGCUACUACUGUGUAGGACACUACCACUGGGGGAUGGAGUGACGGGGACUGUGGACCUCUCUGAACUCUACUGGGGAGUCCUUAUAAAUCUGUAAUUAGUUUAAAGUAAAGUAAAAAGUUAAAAAAUAUGUAGCAGUUUUCAGUGAAACCUUUCUGGAGAUCAAGCAGAGGGGCAAUUUCAUUCAUCAUUUCAUUUGACCAUCGUCCCCUGCUUCUUGAUAUGUUCUUUUCCUGGCUUCCUUGAUUCUAUACUUUGUUUACCCUUAUUUACUCUUGUCACUCUUUCUUCAUCUCCUUGACAAUGGGUCAAAUGCCUGGAUAUUAACUUUUCCAACUUCUCAAGGUCCCUCCGGGUCCCAUUGCUCUUCUCUGGGCUGUCCUUCCACAGUCUGGGCUUUAGUGACCAUGCUGCAAAGAUGACUAGGAAUGCACACCUCUGGUCCAAGCCAUUCCCACAUGCCCAGGUCUCAGCUUAGAUACUGCGGAGGCCCCUCCAUGUCAGUAUGAUGAGUCCCACCACCCACUUCUGAGAGCCUCUCUCCCUGCUCCCAUUACCAAUAUGCCCUGGGCCUAGUUGAACAUUUCCUGGCUCAGUGAAUGACUAUCAUCUACCAAGCUGAGCAAGCAAGAACAAUAUCCUCUCUCCACUCUUAUUACCAGCAUCAUUUCCUGAGCCACCAGCCUCUCCCCUGGGUGACCACAACAACCUUCCAACUGUUCCUAUUGAAGUCCCUGUUUUAUACAGUAACCAGAAUGUUCUUUAUAAAAUGCAUCUCUGGUCAUGUCAUCCUUAGCUAAGAAUCUUUAAUGAGUUCCCAUUGCUCUUACGGGGGAAAAUUUGAAAUCUCUUCUCUAGCUUACAAAAUCCCAUGUGUUCUGGUUCAUAUCACCAGACUCACCUCCUGUUAUGCUCCCUCUGCUAAUGCAUGUAAGCCCAGCUGCAAUUCUUUGAAUUCCUCAAACAGAGUUUGCUCCCUCCAGUCACAUGGUCUUUGAAUGUGCUACACUCUAUCUAGAAUGAUUUCCUCUUCUCUUUAUUGAAUUAAUUCAUUCUUACUUGUUGCUUGAAUUCACCUCAUAUAAGCUUUUCACUAGCCUUCCAACUCAGAACAAAUCCUUCUAUUACCAAAUUUUAUCCAAAGCCAAUAUUUAUUUACAAAACUGGUUGCAAAAAUUGAAAUGUUUUCCUUUAAUUUGAUAAAUAACCAUCAUCCUAAGUUCACUGUUCAGUCACUAAGGUGUUACCUCCAGAUACAACUGGAGCCUUCAGCCACCAAACUAUGUGUGUUCUGGUUAGUUGAUGCUACUGGAUAUUUUGAGUAUUUCUUCUAUUCUUAUGCACCAUGUACCUCUCUCUAUAGAUCUUAACUGCGCAUGUAAUUUUAUAGUUAUUUUCAAAAUUUUAAUAUAUCCUCCACUCUGAGUUCUAAGAAAGUAGGGACUAUGUUCACUAUUAUAUUCCUCACAUCUAAUGGAGAGUAAACACCCAAUAAAUGUCUUCAGUAAAUGAAUAAUUUAAA